AAUGCUUCUUGGCCUCUUGGCUAAGAUCAAGUGUAGUAUCUGUUUAUAGGAGGGGAAUCUGGCUGCCCCUCUAUACAAGACAGACUACCUUGAUCCUGUGACACUUGGACACUUAAUCAACAGCACUUUAUGCUGCACUUUUU
ensembl:snRNA U2 U2 spliceosomal RNA